rnacentral:lncRNA from 9 species
GUGGUUUUUCCACUCCAGAGUGGGACUCCUGUCAGCGCCCUGCAGAAAGAGCGGGAACCUUGGCCUUGGCCUGCAGAAAGAACAGCAGGAGCCUUGGCCCCCCCCCUUCAGAAAGAGCGGGAACCUCGGCCCCGCCCCGAAGAAAGAGCGGGAAGCUUGGCUCCGCCCUGUGGACAGAGCCGGAACCUUGGCUCCACCCUGCAGAAAGAGCGGGAACCUUGGCCGUGCCCUGCCCCUGCAGUCGUCCCUGGGAAACCCAAAGCAAGGUCACGGCUGUGGUGUUGGGGGGACGUUCACCUCGGGCGGCUGAGGGACGCGAGGCUUUCUCCGAGGGGAGCGGCCGUAGGUCAGAAGAGAGAGGCUUCCUGGCUAGGCUUCAAGGGAGGUGAAGGCCUUCUUGUGAAUGAGAAGACAGGUCAGCUGAGGGAGUCACCUCAGGUCAGAAGAAGGAAGAGUCCCAAGUUCUACCAAAGUCAAGGCCUGUGGGAUCCCAUCUCCCACCAUCCUGCUUGCACUUCUACCUGCUGCCUCCAACAAGAGUCAUCAUGCCCCACUCUCCAAAGCGUCCACGCCUCACAUUUGAGCCAGGCUUUCAGACCCUAAGUGAGAUAGAGAGCUUGCUGGUAACACAGAUUCCCACAGCUGAGGAGGAAGAUACCACCUCCAUUUCCUCUUGCUCUUUCACCUUCUCUUACCCCUCCACCUCCCCCCCUUCCUCUCCUCUGAUCCCGGGCAUGCUAGAGGAGAAGCAGGAGCAAGAGGAACAGGAACAGCAGGAGGAACAGGAGCCGGAGCAGGAGCCUGCCACUGUGAUGCUGGGUCCUCCCCAGAGUCCCCAGAACUCCUCCUCCACAUCAUG